rnacentral:lncRNA from 13 species
CCCUGGGCCCUUAGGGUUGAGUAUCUCUCUGAGUAGUGACCCUGCCCUGGGCCUUUAGGGUUGAGUAUCUCUGAGUAGUGACCCUGGGCCCUUAGGGUUGAGUAUCUCUGAGUAGUGACCCUGGGCCCUUAGGGUUGAGUAUCUCUGAGUAGUGACCACUGCACAACGGACCAAGAGACAUCCUUCAGUUGGUUGUGUUUUAUUGAGUUACAGCAGACGGAUAAAUAAAAAACAAACCAGGAAGUAAAGAGAUUCUUGGUAGCAGUACAGUAUUCCAGAUACACGUGUGAACAUGAUUCACUAAUAGAAGCAGCAUGAAACUGAAGGAGCGAGCCAUUGAAAAAUGGAGCCUAACUACACCUAGGAUAUCUAUGGAUAUCUAGAAAGCCAACACGAGAAAAGACCAGUCACUGAUGCAACGGACGCUGCAAUUCAAAAAUGAGACUGAACUACAAAAAACAUGUACAGUGCAUUUUCUUGUUUUUAAAAAAUGUAUUCAUGUCCAUUCUGUGGCUGACUGUCGUCUCAGGCAGCAGGAGCAUUCAGCAUGAAUGCUGAAGGGAGAACUGUUAUUGUAAUGUAAGUAUGUGAUUCUUAGCCUGGGUAGCAGACCUGUUUUGUGCCAUCAUUCCACUCCUGGAACCCAGGCUAGGUGAUUCUAUGGUCUGGUAGAGAACCACUAGUCCCUUUAGUCCAAAUGGAUGAACACACUGGUUAUCAGAUCAGAAGUGUUACUAGUCUAUCCACUUGAAAUAAGUGCCAUCUAUGACCAGCUGUCAGUCACUAAAUGUUUUGUUAAAAAGAAAAUAAUUACCAACUGAUGAAUUGGUUUACAAUUUCCAUCACAGUCAUUAAAAACCAAAACAUUCCUCUUUUAGGGGUUAUUGACUCCUGUUAGAAAUGUAAAAACCAGCAACCCCCAAAAUGUUUACAAAGCUUUUGCAAUACAGAAAAAUAUUUACAAGGGCCCUUUUUUUAUUUAUUAAGUGUAAUAAUAAUAAUAAUAAUAAUAAUAAUAAUAAUGCAUCAAGUCCAGCUUUGGCACUCAAUGGUCUUUGCCAGUCAGUGUUUGGCGUGGACUCUACUGUCCACUGUGCUGAUGUCACAGGCCAGGUAGGAAAUCAUUGGUUCCAGAAUUCAACAAUCUUGAGAAUCUUCUGCCUGAGAAACUCAGUAUCCUCUGAAACAAAGGAAAAUGUCAAAACACAAGACUUGUUAUACAGAUGGCUGACCACACCCUUCGUUGUUAACCUAUCAUUCUGCAGUUAACGUACCCAUACAGCAGGCUAUCAGAGGUGCUUUUCUGUUCACCAGGGGGG